UAUAAUCUCGAAAGGUACUGUGGAUCCUAU
rnacentral:piRNA from 1 species